UGUAAGUUUGCCCAAUAGAUUGUGGUUAGAACAACAACGCACCAAACAAUAAGGGAGCAGUGAGGCCCACGCGUGCUGGGAGCGGGAGAGAACACACUGCCUUCACCAACAAGCGCCGACCACCUACCUGUCUCCCGAUGUAACCCGCUAGCCACAGCCUCUGGAGGACGGAUUGUCCGCGUCUCCGACAGUUGUCGCGAGGCUGCACCAUACCUCAAGGACGUCAUACACAGUGCCAGGUUGGACGUCCACAUAUGGCACCUGCGGGCGUUCGUGGGGGAGCGUGGAAGGCAGGCCUCACCGCCAUCUCAGCCAAGUGCCGCCUGGGCCUAGAGGAGGACUCCUAUCUGGGCUGCCACCGGACGUGGGCACGUCAGACCCCAGGAGUCCAAGGCCCAGGGGAGUGGUGGUAGAGGGAGAGAACCGCCGAGUUCCCCAAUCUGGCACAUUGGCGCUGGCCCGACUCAGCACAAUGGGAGGGGGAAGAACACGAGCAGACACAGGACUCGUGUGAGGUAUUGUAAAGCCAUUUUGCAAAUGUAACCCAGUUGGAAAUUGGGCCCAGAUAUAUUAUUUUGUUCCCAUAUAAUCCCCUUAUUUCUCAUAAAGUUUCCCCUCUGUUCUUUGUCUGUUAUAUUCCCUUAAGCCUUAUAUUGUUAACCUGUUGGGUUAUUAAGCUGUCAAUCAGUGAUUUUGCUUAUUGGCUGUAUCAAGAAUACAGACCUCCCAAUGGUUAGAGGGAAGUAAGCCCCGCCCCUUCAUGUGCUGUCGUCCAUGCGCAGCUAGAACGCUAACACAAGCAGACGAGUGAAAAACGAGCUGAGAAAACGAGUCAACUAUAGAGAGGCAGUUAUUAAACUAUAUAAAAACUGAGUGGAGUUGAAGGGAAACUAACCCGAAGUGAGAGAGAGGGAAUUGAUGACUGAGCACCGGGAGUUUUAUUGUUUUCGGCCGAGUCUUGGUCGUUUGGUGGGUGUGUCAUUGCCCCAUGUCACCUCUCCAAGGAAAAAGCGCAUAUGCAACUUGCUCUGUUGGGACCGACACAAUCCGGAUGUGACGCAGCGGAAGUAUCCAAUCGCGCCUCGAAAAUGUAGUCAGAUUGUAGUUUUGAAAAUGCUUUACAGUACAGACACACACCCAAACAUGGCACCGGCUAGAUAUAAACAGCCAGUUGCGAGGCAAUUGUUGCAUUCAUCAUGGAUCAAUCGACUGAUAAGGGACCCAAGAGGCGACUGUCGUUGGAACAAAAGAAGAAUGGACCAGAAAAGAGAUCAGACACGAGUGAAAGGGGAACUAUGCAACUUUUUUGGCUUGAUUUACCUUCAUAUAACAGGCUAAGAGUCAUUUCUAUGGUUCUAUUAUACAUUUAUGUUCGAUUGUUUGUUGUUUCGACUCCCCCUUGCGCAUCUUGGCGGAGGAAAGGAAUAUGUUUCUGCCGGCGACCCGCCGCCCACUCUCGCGGGAGUCUCGGGUCUCGCGAAGUAACGAAUUGCUUUACGGCACAGACCCCCAAACACGGAACCGGCUCGAUAUAAACACAAGUAACUAAGGGAUUGUUACAUUCAUCAUAGAUCAGCCGACUAAAAAGAGACAGAGAAACCCAAUGUCGGAGGAACAGAAGAAGAGAAAAGGGAGACUGACCGACAGAGAGGCCAGACACGAGUAAACGUUGGGCAAGCUUUUCAGGAAUAGCGUGAACUGAAAGAAAAAGAAGACUGCAAAUCAAACGCCGACUUGGCUGUGUUGCUUUUGAAAUUGAGAGUACCCUUGGGUGAACUUUGACUUCGUGGUAUUCUUGAUGUUGAUAGUCUCUAUACAAAUGUGUUUGCUCAACCAUUUUGUUGUGAGCCCUGUAAAAAUUGUUUUCUCGGCCGUUUUGUUGUGAGCCCUGUAUGUUUCUAGCUUGCUUGGUUGCAACCAUAUAAACACCGUUGUUUCCAUGGGUGUUUUGCUGUCCAUUUGUCUCGUCCCCCAGAUACAGACUGAACCCCCGAAUCCAGGUUCUUGUUUAUUUAGAUUAUUAUGUUGGCCAACACUCUUACACAGAUUGUUCUGUUCAACCUAAGAUAAAACAAUUAUAAUCUAGGGUAUAAAUUCUCCCCGUCAACUAUAAAAAAUGAUGGAUUUAUGUUUAUUGCAAUACAAAUACAGCAUUUUAAAAAUGUAUAACCUUGCCUACACUUUAUGAACAUCUACUUCGGACAUGGCUCCACGCAUUCGCCGGCUUCUUUGAAAACAAAUGCACAUGGCUCGCGUAGAAGUGCAUGGGGAAGGGUCGUCAACGAGUUGUUACGACAGUGUUGUAAAAUAUCUACUACGAAGCUGUAGGGGGCGCUGUGUAGAGAAAUGUGCGUGCCAAAACCGAAGAAAUGCCCGAAGUUGCAUAGUGGGACUUUAAGAAUGCUGGUAUUAUACCGCUGUGUGUGAACCUGGCUACAGUAAAAGCAGCACAUUAUUUCACUGAUAAGCUGAUGGAAAAUAGGAAGCUAAGCCAUUUUACUUUGCUGCCCCAUUUGUUUGCACUUUACUUUUGUGGUGUUUAAUGUUUACAACUCGAGCAUGUAUGCUCUGUUAUGCAGUACUUGUGCUAAUGGUAUGUAGCAUAUGUUUAAAAAGACUGUUCUAGAUGCACUUAUUAUAGCCUUGAAUUGAAUAUGUUGAGGUGAAGCCUGUAAGAUGUUUUUUGUGCAUGUUAACUAAGGCGUAUUUAAUCAUAUUUCAUGGUUAAAAGAGUUGAAAUGAUUUGUAAUUCAUGAUAUAGUUAAAAAGAUAAUUCUGCAUUACUGCAAUACUACUGUGUUUCAACAGUAUGUUUUUGAUGGUAUCCAUUAUGGCCAUAAAGAGUGUUAUUCUAAGUCCCAUGUAUAAUAGUCUGUUUUUAUAUAGGCUAGGUUUUUUGUAAUCCUUGGAAACACUUUGAGAUCUGGAUCGAAUUCCCCUUGACGAAGGGGUGGCGAGCUAGGGAAGAAGAUACAUCCUUAUCCAAAGGAGUGGACCGAGAUCACCUGUGCCCAGGAGGAGCAUAUCCUUCAUUUACCUGCAUCACUUGAGUAUCUCAGGUGAAAGCGCUCUGAAGCGCCACACAUGACCCCUGACUUUUGACUUCUGACUUGACAUUUCCCCUUUUGACUAACGCAUGCUGAACUGGCCGAACCGAAGAAUCUAAGGAACACUUGCAAGGAAUUUAUCCUGUUUAAAUAUUUUAUUUUUUCUAAUCGACAUUUUGCAGCCAUUCUAUGGUGGUUAAAGAUAAUUGUUCCUGACCUAAUGUUAUGGUCUAAAUUGUGAAACAUUGGUGAAUGUUAUUGAUUGCAGUGAAAUCCAUUUUGUUAUAAUUUUUCCUACCAAGAAUACAGUCAAUUUAAUAGUUACCUGUGGCUCCAGUUGAUCAUUGUGUUGUCAUUGAAU
ensembl:lncRNA